rnacentral:rRNA from 1 species
AAGGCGCCUGAUCCAGCCAUAUAGUAAGAGUCAAAAAAAACUCAAAAGAAAAAAGAAAAGAAUGAUAGAAGUUUUUCAUUAAAUCCUGACUAAUUUCGUGCCAGCAGUCGCGGUAAUACGUGAAGGAUAAGCGUAAUUCAUAAUAACUAGGUAUUAAGUGUCUGUAGGCGGCGAGAGCUAGAGUCUGACUAGGAAAUUGAAAUUUGAUAAGGAAGGAUAAAAUCUGUUGAUAUAUUAAAGAAUACUAUGCGAAGGCAUUUUUCUAUGAAGGACUGACGCUAAGAGACUAAAGUGUGGGUAGCGAAAAGGAUUAGAUACCCUUGUAGUCCACACCCUCAACGAUGAGUGUUAGUCUUACGGCAUUGAAACACUCCACCUGGGAAGUACUAUCGCAAGAUAGAAACCCAAAAGAAUAGACGGUUUUUAAGACCAGCAGUGAAGCAUGUUGUUUAAUUUGAUAGUCCCCAAAGAAUCUUACCAAUCCUUGAAUUAUCUCAAGAUAACAGGUGUUGCAUGGCUGUCUUUAGUUCGUGUUGUGAAAUGUUAGGUUAAUUCCGGUAACGAACAGAACCCAGAUUGUAAUAAAAUCUUACAAUUAAAGGAUUAAGACAAGUCUUUAUGGCCCUAAUGGAUUGGGCUACAGACGUGCCACAAUAGUAGAAACAAUAGGUAGCUGGUUAACAGUAAAUUAACCCUAAAAUACUACUACGUACAGAUAGAAGUCUGAAACUCGGCUACUUGAAGAAGGAAUUGCUAGUAAUCGUGGAUCACAAUGUCACGGUGAAAAAAAAUUUUAAUUAUGUACUAAUCGCCCGUCAAAGGCUAGAAGAGAUAGUUAACGCAAAUUGAGGUAAAGUAAAAUAUUCUAUUUCAUUAUUGAAA